CCAAAGGCUCUUUUCAGAGCCCCCCACCAUUUCAAAGGAAGAGCUA
rfam:Equus caballus chromosome 20, whole genome shotgun sequence.